rnacentral:rRNA from 1 species
CCUACGGGUGGCAGCAGUGGGGAAUAUUGGGCAAUGGGCGCAAGCCUGACCCAGCAACGCCGCGUGAAGGAAGAAGGCUCUCGGGUUGUAAACUUCUUUUAAGAGGGAAGAGCAGAAGACGGUACCUCUUGAAUAAGCCACGGCUAACUACGUGCCAGCAGCCGCGGUAAUACGGAGGAUGCGAGGGUUAUCCGGAUUUAUUGGGUUUAAAGGGUGCGAAGGGGGUCUGUUAGGUCGGCGGUCAAAGCCCGGGGCUCAACCCCGGCCCGCCGUUGAAACUGGCAGUCUCGAGUUGGAGAGAGGUAUGCGGAAUGCGCGGUGUAGCGGUGAAAUGCAUAGAUAUCGCACAGAACUCCGAUUGCGAAGGCAGCAUGCCGGCUCCACACUGACGCUGAGGCACGAAAGCGUGGGUAUCGAACAGGAUUAGAUACCCCUGUAGUC